AUUGAACGCUGGCGGCAGGCCUAACACAUGCAAGUCGAGCGGCAGCGGGAAGUAGCUUGCUACUUUGCCGGCGAGCGGCGGACGGGUGAGUAAUGUCAGGGAAACUGCCUGAUGGGGGGGAUAACUACUGGAAACGGUAGCUAAUACCGCAUAAUGUCGCAAGACCAAAGAGGGGGACCUUCGGGCCUCUUGCCAUCAGAUGUGCCCAGAUGGGAUUAGCUAGUAGGUGGGGUAACGGCUCACCUAGGCGACGAUCCCUAGCUGGUCUGAGAGGAUGACCAGCCACACUGGAACUGAGACACGGUCCAGACUCCUACGGGAGGCAGCAGUGGGGAAUAUUGCACAAUGGGCGCAAGCCUGAUGCAGCCAUGCCGCGUGUAUGAAGAAGGCCUUCGGGUUGUAAAGUACUUUCAGCGGGGAGGAAGGUGUUGAGGUUAAUAACCUCAGCAAUUGACGUUACCCGCAGAAGAAGCACCGGCUAACUCCGUGCCAGCCGCCGCGGUAA
rnacentral:rRNA from 1 species